ACGGGAGGCAGCAGUGGGGAAUAUUGCACAAUGGGGGAAACCCUGAUGCAGCGACGCCGCGUGAGUGAAGAAGUAUUUCGGUAUGUAAAGCUCUAUCAGCAAGGAAGAAAAUGACGGUACUUGGCUAAGAAGCCCCGGCUAACUACGUGCCAGCAGCCGCGGUAAUACGUAGGGGGCAAGCGUUAUCCGGAUUUACUGGGUGUAAAGGGAGCGUAGACGGUGAGGCAAGUCUGAAGUGAAAUGCAUGGGCUCAACCCAUGAACUGCUUUGGAAACUGUCUGACUAGAGUGCAGGAGAGGUAAGUGGAAUUCCUAGUGUAGCGGUGAAAUGCGUAGAUAUUAGGAGGAACACCAGUGGCGAAGGCGGCUUACUGGACUGUAACUGACGUUGAGGCUCGAAAGCGUGGGGAGCAAACAGGAUUAGAUACCCUGGUA
rnacentral:rRNA from 1 species